UCCCUGGUGGCCCAGUGGUGAGGAUACUGGGCUUUCAUUGCUGUGGCCCAGGUUCAAUCCCUGGUCAGGGAA
rfam:Ovis aries breed Texel chromosome 4, whole genome shotgun sequence.